GCAGAGCCUGUGAACUAAGAACAGUUUUUGCAUUUCUCAAAUGGUUGAAAAAAAUCAAAAGGAUAAUUUUAUUUUAUGGCAAAUAGAUGUCCUAUGAAAUUCAAGUUCCAAUACCCACAAAUAAAAUGUUAUGGGCACAAUGACCUAUUCAUGUAUUUGCAUGACAACAUUGGUUCUUGAAAGUGACCACAUCACCUAAAAAUAUUACCCUCUGGCCCCUCAAAAAAAUACUUGCUAAUCUGAUUUAAAGGUAACUGUCAAAUCUCAGCCUUCUGUUUUCUAUUGUGGGAAGCCAAAGUUUUAAAGAGCACAGAAAAGAUUUUUAGACUACUGGACGCAAAUGAAUUUGGCAAUGUCCCUUCUAGGUGGCGAAGAGAGGACUGAGAGGUCAUACUGUGGUAGCCUAGAGAUAGCAAACGUCACCUCUGCUUCGUGGUCAGAGCUGGCCAGUCCUGCCCUGACUAACUGGAAGGCACUUGGGGAUAUGAGCUUCUGUGUCCCUAAGAAGAAGAAAAGGACCAUAUGCCUUCGGGAUCUUAACAGUUACUUCUUGGUAAGGUGGCCCUCUGGUACUGCCAUAUCUUACCUCUGCUGCAAUACAGAGGCCCCACAUGAACUAACAUCUGCCCAGUGUCUGACAUCUAGAAUGAAGGUGGCAGUGGUCACUGCUAAUCAGAGAAUGCCUGAAGGACACAGUCUGCCGAUACCAUUAGAAUCCAGAGAUGAAAUCCACAGAGUCCCAGUUUCCUGAAUACUUGUGCCACUGUUCUUUCUCCUUGUUCUAUUGCCCAACACAGGUAAACAUCAGGAGGCCAUGCAAAUGGCCCUGACAAUGUUGUUCCAACACAGGCACGGAGCUGCAUGCUUGCAACCCCAAC
rnacentral:lncRNA from 1 species